UAGUCGAGAGGUCCUGCGCCGAAAAUGUCCGGGGCUAAAACACAACACCGAAGCUCAGGAAUGUACAAGAUACAUUGGUAGAGGAGCAUUCUGAAAGGGGCGAAGCAGUACCGAUAAGGAGCUGUGGACUUUUCAGAAGAGAGAAUGCCGGAAUGAGUAGCGAGAUAUAUGUGAGAACCAUAUAGGCCGAAUAUCUAAGGUUUCCUGGGUGAAGCUAAUCUACCCAGGGUAAGUCGGGACCUAAGGCGAGGACGAGAGUCGUAGUCGAUGGACAACUGGUAGAGAUUCCAGUACUAUGUAUGAUCAGAACUGUGGGGACGCAGGAGGAUAGAUGGACCGCGGAAAGGGAAGACGCGGCCAAGCACAAAGGCGAGGUCAGUAGGCAAAUCCGCUGAUUGAUGUUGAAGUGUGACGGGGACUGAAAGAAAGUAAGGAAGUCAUUGAAUCCACACUGCCGAGAAAAGCCGCUAUUGUGUCAUACAUACCCGUACCGCAAACCGACACAGGUAGAUGAGGAGAAAAUCCACAGGCCGACGGGAGAAGUGUUGUUAAGGAACUCGGCAAAAUGACCCCGUAACUUAGGGAGAAGGGGAGCCACGAGAAGUGGUCACAGAGAAGAGGCUCAAGCAACUGUUUAGCAAAAACACAGGUCUCUGCGAAACCGAAAGGUGAAGUAUAGGGGCUGACACCUGCCCGGUGCUGGAAGGUUAAAAGGAGAGGUUCGGCGCAAGCCAAAGCUUUGAAUUCAAGCCCCAGUAAACGGCGGCCGUAACUAUAACGGUCCUAAGGUAGCGAAAUUCCUUGUCAGGUAAGUUCUGACCCGCACGAAAGGCGUAAUGAUUUGGGCGCUGUCUCGACAAUGUACUCGGCGAAAUUGUAGUACUAGUGAAGAUGCUAGUUACCUGCGACAAGACAGAAAGACCCCAUGGAGCUUUACUGCAGCUUGAUACUGGGUUUCGGUAAUUUAUGUACAGGAUAGGUGGGAUGCUAUGAAGUAUAUGCGCCAGCAUAUAUGGAGCAGACGUUGGGAUACCACCCUUAAGUUACUGAAAUUCUAACUAGAAGUCCUAAGCGGGCUUGAGGACAAUGUCAGGCGGGCAGUUUGACUGGGGCGGUCGCCUCCUAAAGAGUAACGGAGGCGCGCAAAGGUUUCCUCAGCGCGGACAGAAAUCGCGCGAAAGAGUGCAAAGGCAGAAGGAAGCUUAACUGAGAGACUGACAAGUCGACCAGAUACGAAAGUAGGUCUUAGUGAUCCGGUGGUAGUAAGUGGAAAUGCCAUCGCUCAACGGACAAAAGUUACCCUGGGGAUAACAGGCUUAUCUCCCCCAAGAGUUCACAUCGACGGGGAGGUUUGGCACCUCGAUGUCGGCUCAUCGCAUCCUGGGGCUGUAGUCGGUCCCAAGGGUUGGGCUGUUCGCCCAUUAAAGCGGUACGCGAGCUGGGUUCAGAACGUCGUGAGACAGUUCGGUCCUUAUCUGUCGCAGGCGUAAGAUAUUUGAAGGGAGCUGUCCUUAGUACGAGAGGACCAGGAUGGACAUACCGAUGGUGUAUCAGUUGUCAUACCAAUGGCACGGCUGAGUAGCUAAGUAUGGAAGGGAUAAACGCUGAAAGCAUCUAAGUGUGAAGCCCACCCUAAGAUAAGAUAUCCCAUACUGUAAAGUAGUAAGAUUCCAAUAAGACGAAUUGGUAGAUAGGUUGGAGGUGUAAGUAUAGUGAUAUAUUAAGCUGACCAAUACUAAUAAAUCGAGGGCUUAACUAU
rnacentral:rRNA from 1 species